GUGUCUCCCAGUUCGGUUCCGGGCGGGCCGUCGACGGCGGCUCCGGUUUGGCCGCGCGGUGGAACACCGCGGUGCCGCG
rnacentral:tRNA from 1 species